CGGCCACACUGGGACUGAGACACGGCCCAGACUCCUACCGGAGGCAGCAGUAGGGAAUCUUCGGCAAUGGACGAAAGUCUGACCGAGCAACGCCCCGCGAGUGAAGAAGGUUUUCGGAUCGUAAAACUCUCUUGUUAGAGAAGAACAAGGAUGAGAAGAGAAUGUUCAUCCCUUGACGGUUCUAACCAGAAAGCCACGGCUAACUACUUGCCAGCAGCCGCGGUAAUACUUAGGUGGCAAGCGUUGUCCGGAUUUAUUGGGCGUAAAGCGAGCGCAGGCGGUUCUUUAAGUCUGAUGUGAAAGCCCCCGGCUCAACCGGGGAGGGUCAUUGGAAACUGGGGAACUUGAGUGCAGAAGAGGAGAGUGGAAUUCCUUGUGUAGCGGUGAAAUGCGUAGAUAUAUGGAGGGAACACCAGUGGCGAAGGCGGCUCUCUGGUCUUUAACUGACGCUGAGGAUCCAAAGCGUGGGGGAGGCAGAACAGGAUUAAAUACCCUGGUAGUCCACCCCCCUACACGAUGAUUGCUACUUGUUGGUAGGGGUUCCUCCCCUUCCAUCGCUGCAGCUAAACGCAUUAAGCCACUCCUCCCGGGGGGAGGACGGACCCGCUGGGUUGAAACAUCACAAGAAAGUUGAAUGGGGGCCCCCCCCAACCCGGUGGGAUCCAUGAGAUUUAAUUCUAAUCAACAGCGCAGGAACCCUACCCCGUCCUGGACUGCCGUUUGUCCGACUCUAAAAGUUAGACCUUUUCCCGUUUCCUACACCACAAGGACGACGGUGGUG
rnacentral:rRNA from 1 species